UACGGGAGGCAGCAGUGGGGAAUAUUGCACAAUGGGCGCAAGCCUGAUGCAGCAACGCCGCGUUAAGGAUGAAGGUUUUCGGAUCGUAAACUUAUGUCUUCAGGGACGAAAUUUGACGGUACCUGAGGAGGAAGCCACGGCUAACUACGUGCCAGCAGCCGCGGUAAU
rnacentral:rRNA from 1 species